rnacentral:rRNA from 1 species
GAGUUUGAUCAUGGCUCAGAUUGAACGCUGGCGGCAGGCUUAACACAUGCAAGUCGAACGAUGAUUGCUAGCUUGCUAGUAUGAUUAGUGGCGAACGGGUGAGUAAUGCUUAGGAAUCUGCCUAUUAGUGGGGGACAACAUUCCGAAAGGAAUGCUAAUACCGCAUACGUCCUACGGGAGAAAGCAGGGGAUCGCAAGACCUUGCGCUAAUAGAUGAGCCUAAGUCGGAUUAGCUAGUUGGUGGGGUAAAGGCCUACCAAGGCGACGAUCUGUAGCUGGUCUGAGAGGAUGAUCAGCCACACUGGGACUGAGACACGGCCCAGACUCCUACGGGAGGCAGCAGUGGGGAAUAUUGGACAAUGGGCGAAAGCCUGAUCCAGCCAUGCCGCGUGUGUGAAGAAGGCCUUUUGGUUGUAAAGCACUUUAAGUGGGGAGGAAAAGCUAAUAAUUAAUACCUAUAGCCCUGACGUACCCCA